UACACGUGUGAUCAAAAUGGAAACAAAGCCUGCAUGGAAGGUUGGAUGGGAGAAGAAUGUAAACAAGCUGUAUGUAAACAAGGAUGUAAUUUGCUCCAUGGGGGUUGCAGUACACCUGGGGAAUGCAAGUGUCAUUAUGGUUGGCAAGGACAGUUCUGUGAUGAGUGUGUCCGCUACCCAGGCUGUGCUCAUGGGAGCUGUAAUGAACCAUGGCAGUGUAAUUGUGAAACCAACUGGGGUGGCCUGCUCUGUAACAAAGAUCUGAAUUACUGUGGAAAUCACCAUCCCUGCCUGAACGGUGGAACCUGCAUGAAUACUGAACCAGAUGAAUAUCGAUGUGCUUGCCCAGAUGGCUACUCUGGAAAGAACUGUGAAAUUG